rnacentral:lncRNA from 1 species
AGACGCUGUCCUCCUCGUCUUCUUCGUCCUCGUCGUCGUGUGCGUUGCGCGCGGCGGCGACGGCCGCGAGCGCCGUCGCCACGGCGGCCGUUGUGGCGUCCCUCGACGCGCUCUGUUGGUCGCGCUCUCUCUCCCGGUCGUGACGGUGUCUGUCGCGCUUCUUGGUGUCUCUCCUGCCGUGCCUGUCGUUCCUGUCGCGUCGCUCGUGCUUGUCCCUGACGUCCCGAUCGCGCGCGUCCUCGGUGGCGCCAUCCGUGCUCGCCUCGUCUUCUUUGGCCCUCCUGUCACCGUCGACGCCAUCAGAACGCCGGUGGCGGCGGUGACGCGAUGGCUUGUCGUCGCGCGUCGUCUCGCGGGCGCGCCGACGGUCGCGAUGCUUGUUGCGACGGCCAGCGUCGCCGUCGCCCGACAC